ensembl:lncRNA
GUCGAAAGUAAAAACCAUUGGAUCAAAGGUCAAAAGUACGGCCUUUGGAUUUGAAUAAAAACAAAUACAAACCAGCUUCCUUGGUGCCACACUUUCCGCCGUCAAGACACUAAAUAAAUAGUUAUAUCUUGUCGUUUGGCAGUGGCCUCAACAGAUAAACGUCCCUACUCUUGUGUACGGUAUUCAUGUCAUACAUAUUCAGGGUAUUCAGCUUGCAUAUUCAACAGAAUAAGCAAAAAUAAAAAGUAACACGAUUUUUUUUUGUACUCAUCAUUGUUCAUUUUACUGAUUGAUUUCUGCAACAUACAUACAAACACGUUGGCUGUGUGUGUGUGUGUGUGUGUGUGUGUGUGUGUGUGUGUGUGUGUGUGUGUGUGUGUGUGUGUGUGUGUGUGUGUGUGUAAAAAGAAUGAGGAGAAGCCGGGGCUGAUGGAGAGUCCCGCAGGAGGCUAUGAGAAGCAGCAGCGAAUCAGAUCACUCACACUCAUGCCAAUCAUAAACAUGAUUGGAGGAAUAAGGGAGGGAGGGCGGGCUCUCUCUCUUAAAGGCACAGGCGGACCGUUUCCUAAGGACAAGAGUAGUGAAGAGAGGGCAAGAGGAAGCAGGAGAGGGCAACAUAUCGAUGCACAGAAACCAACGGGGGGCUAAUAACCACAACGGUUAGAUAAAUAAAGCAGAACAACGGCUUUGAUUGAAGACAGAUUAAUAUUGAACCACAGAGCCCUAGGGCUGGUGUCCGGUUCUAACUCCCAGAUGCAGGAACCGGUUCUCCAGAGUUGGUGUGUCUCCACUCUGGUAACCCGAGGUGACCGACCGAUAAAACAACAAAACAAAAAGCGGAAUGACGACCGAAGUGGAAGAGGAGAGUGAGUCUCCGCAGGGUGACGGCGAUAAUGAGGGGUAAUGCACGCCUAGGGGUCGGGGAGAAGUGGGGGUGAGGGGUGAGGGGUGAGGGGUAAUGCACGCCUAGGGGUCGGGAGGAGUGGCGGUGGGGGGUGAGGGGUAAUGCACGCCUAGGGGUCGGGAGGAGUGGCGGUGGGGGUGAGGGGUAAUGCACGCCUAGGGGUCGGGGGAGAAGAGUGGCGGGGGGGUGAGGGGUAAUGCACGCCUAGGGGUCGGGGAGGAGUGGGGUGGCGGGGGGGUGCACAGUGUGACAACCAACAACAUACAAAAAUAACCUUUAAAAUACCAUUUACAAAAAAAGAAAAGACAACUAUUAUUAUUAUUACAAUCUUAUUCAGAGCAGUAUGCGUUGGUAGGGCCGGCGGCUAGCUGGGGGCUUCGCACGCCGGCCAAUCAUAAAGAGGGACUCGCCGAUCUGUUCUGCAUAUCAUUCAAACACAUAAGGGGGGGAACGAUAAAAGACAAAAUAACCCUGAAAUAUUUGCCAGGAGCAAAACAACCAAAGGAAAGAGGAGCACAUUUACAGUUUUAACGGGAGGGAAAAGUAUCAUCAUCAUCAUCAUCUUCGUCAUCAUGCACGGAUAUCUUACAUCUUCUGUUAAUAAGAAUAUUCAAGAGAUAUCAAAAGAGAACAAAAUCUGAAAUAUUAUAUACCUAAGUAGUCCUGUACAUUUUAUUUCAAUAUAUAAAACAAUGCAUAUAUAUAUAUAAAUAUGUAUAUAUAUAAAUGUAUAUAUACACACACACAUAUAUAUAUAGUUAUUUAGCUGUAGAGUGACAAGCAAACAAAACUCAGUAAAACCAGAGGGGGGGUCCAUAUAAUCACCGUUAUGUUGAAUACGGCCAGAAGCAGCUGAAACGAGGCUGACAGAAGAGAUCAGAUCAUACCUCACUCAGUCCAUCCUAACGGAGUGAGGAACAUCUGGAGCCAUGCUCUGAGAGGUUGUCAUGGGGACACAUGGGGGUCCUGAAACCCACCCCUCUCUCCCUCCCUCCUCUCUC